CAACCCUCAAGCCCCCCGGGUUUGGUGUUGGGUGCCGGCGUCCAGCGCUCCCCCCGCGGAGCGCCCGCCGCCCCCGAAAUGGAUUGGCGGUCUCGUCGCAGCCUCCCUUGCGUAGUAACAUACCACCUCGCAUGGCGGAGCGCGGCGCGGCCACUGCCGUAAAACAACCCAAUUUCUCAAG
rnacentral:misc_RNA from 1 species